CCUCAGAUCCCUCUCACUUCUCCAUCUCUCUCCCUCAGCCUAACCCUAGCCGCCCCCAAACUCCCACAAACCUCCACCAGCGGUCGCCAUCUUGGCACCACCAAACGACCUCCAAAUCCGCCCAAAUUCACACCCCACACUCCUCACUUCAUCCUCAAUCCAAAUCUACCUUCAAUUUUCCUAAAACACCACUCAAAAUCCUCGAAUUUUAGAUCUAAAAUCGGCCAGAAAACCUAAUUUAGUUCUUUCCGAUUCCUUCAUCAAGUUCAAGCUGUUUUGAGUUGAAACUAACAUUAAUUAUUUGUUCUUGUCAAGAACAAUUAAUUAAUGUAAGCUUUAGUUUAUUACGGAAUCAUCGGAAUCCGGUCGAGCCUCUUGUUUCGCUUCAAGAUGGGUAGUUUUGUUUUUCUUUACUAGGUACACAUUGAUAACUUUGUAUGAUUCUGAGCUUAGCACAAUCAAUUUGAGCUUGAAAUCUGUGAAAUUCAGAUGGUCGUUGUGCUUACAUGAUGUUAUAUAUCUUCUUAUGCAAUGUUCUAAGUAUUUGAAUGGCUUGAAUUGGCAUUCGCUCACCUCUGACCUGUUUGCUGCUGUUAUGAAUGUCCUUAAGCACAUGUAUUACUAUUAGUUUCUAUUAUUGGCAUCUCCACAUCAUAAUUUGUUGAUCAUGAAUUCUAAUCUAUAGACUUCCUAAUGGUUUGUUAAGACAACAUGUCAAGCUAUUUGUGAAGGACUGAUAAUGUUAUGUCAUGGCUUCAACUUAUGGGUCUGGCCAUCAAUAGGCCAGAUCUGUGAGUCUCAAACCCAAAUCAAGCCAUUUUGAAAUGUUGUAAGCUAUUGUUCGUCAAAUUGACAAGCGUUGUGGAUGAAAUCGAAGGUUACAGUUAUUAUAGCAUUUCAUCAAGUGUAGUUAACUCAAUCAGUCAGGACUAUGUAAUUUUAUUUCUUAUUAUAGUCGUAAUUUAGUUGAAAAUCCAUUUAGUUUAAAUUUGAAGUUCCCUUUAUAUGUGUAGUUCAACUUUAAUUCCUGAAUAUUUUUUUGAUAAAAUGGUUCAAAUUUGUAUUAUGAAUGUUUAAGCAUGUUGUUUUAUUUUUCUAUCAUUGGUAAUAGAGACCAACAGAGAUUUAGUGAA